rnacentral:rRNA from 1 species
UACAGAGGGGGCGAGCGUUGUUCGGAAUUACUGGGCGUAAAGGGCGCGUAGGCGGCCCUCUAAGUCGAACGUGAAAUCCCCGGGCUCAACCCGGGAACUGCGUCCGAUACUGGAGGGCUCGAAUCCGGGAGAGGGAUGUGGAAUUCCAGGUGUAGCGGUGAAAUGCGUAGAUAUCUGGAGGAACACCGGUGGCGAAGGCGGCAUCCUGGACCGACACUGACGCUGAGGCGCGAAAGCUAGGGUAGCAAACGGG